rnacentral:tRNA from 1 species
CUAAGGAAAAACGGAAUGUACUUGAGUUUCUUAUUUAGUUUUGAGAGGUCUUGUGGGGCCUUAGCUCAGCUGGGAGAGCGCCUGCUUUGCACGCAGGAGGUCAGCGGUUCGAUCCCGCUAGGCUCCAUUGAAUCGAAAGAUUCAAGUAUUGUCCAUUGAAAAUUGAAUAUCUAUAUCAAAUUCCAUAUGUAAGUAAUUACAUAUAGAUAGUAACAAGAAAAUAAACCGAAACGCUGUGAAUAUUUAAUGAGUUAGGUCGAAAGACCAAAAAUAA